rnacentral:rRNA from 1 species
AUUGAACGCUGGCGGCAUGCCUUACACAUGCAAGUCGAACGGUAACAGGUCUUCGGACGCUAACGAGUGGCGAACGGGUGAGUAAUACAUCGGAACGUGCCCAGUCGUGGGGGAUAACUACUCGAAAGAGUGGCUAAUACCGCAUACGAUCUGAGGAUGAAAGCGGGGGACCUUCGGGCCUCGCGCGAUUGGAGCGGCCGAUGGCAGAUUAGGUAGCUGGUGGGAUAAAAGCUUACCAAGCCGACGAUCUGUAGCUGGUCUGAGAGGACGACCAGCCACACUGGGACGGAGACACGGACCAGACUCCGACGGGAGGCAGCAGUGGGGAAUUUUGGACAAUGGGCGAAAGCCUGAUCCAGCAAUGCCGCGUGCAGGAUGAAGGCCUUCGGGUUGUAAACUGCUUUUGUACGGAACGAAAAAGCUUCCCCUAAUACGGGAGGCCCAUGACGGUACCGUAAGAAUAAGCACCGGCUAACUGCGUGCCAGCAGCCGCCGCAGUAA